GCUGCCUGGCCCAAUGGUCAAGGCGCCUGCCUACGAAGCAGGAGAUUCCAGGUUCGAUGCAUGGUUUCAGUA
rnacentral:tRNA from 1 species